GAUGGACUAGAGGUGUUUCUCAUCAAUAUCCAACCGAAUACAGUUUGUAACGCAGAAGGUUGUUUCAGAUUACCUGGCAAACGACCUGUUCUCAGAAUGAGAGGAAAGAUAGCUGCUCCUACUAGCAUAUCAACUGGACCAGGAGAAUGAAAGGUUGGGUCAGCCAGUUUGAUAUUAGAAAGAGAAUACCACUCAUGGUAGGGUAGAAAGUUGUUAGGCAUAUUAGAACAAAUCUUCGGCAAUACGACUGCAUCAAUAGUGUAAGAUGGAUUUAUGGACCCUAUCGGACGAAUUGUACAUGUUAUGGAAUCAGAAACAGAUGCUGAUGUUUCACCAAGGCCAAAGAUAGCAAGAGGGGUUUUAAAACAUUCAAGUCCUAACCUUUUUACGCAUUUUUGUGUGAUUAUAUUCGUUUGGGAGCCUGGAUCUAAAAGAAUGCGAAUAUUUUGAUAUUGACCUCGAGCAUCUAAGACUUCAACCCGCGCAGUAGCUAGCAACACAGUAGCUGGCGAUGCAGAUAUGUUUGUUAACACUUGAGAGCGGCAUACCAUGGAAGUAGAUGGAAUUUCAUUACAAGGAUCAAUUGUUUCAGGAGAUGGAUCAAUUGUCCCUAAAUGCAACAAUGUGUGAUGACUCUUAUGACAAUGACGGCAAGUAGAUUUCGACGAACACCCCGAUACUCUAUGUCCCGAAUGAAGGCAGUUAAUACACCAAUUUUUGUCUUUAACGAUUUGCAAUCUUGCUGAUGGAGGUUCAUUGAGGAAAGAAGAGCAUUUAUAAAUUUAAUGGUUAGCAUUACAAUAGCUGCAUGAAAAUUUGUUCGGCGAAUUUGACUGAGUAAGAAAUGUUGAACUUUUUUCAUAAGGCUUAUCACUUGAUGAUGCAUUCACGCGUUGUGAAACCGAGAACUUAAGUGACUCUAAAGAAAUACAUUGAUUUUUGAGAAAUUUAUAAAGAGCACGAUACGAAGGAAUUUCUGUGGAACAUUCUUGCAGCUCAAAUCUCUUAAUUGUUGCUAUAUCUAAUUUCUGUAUGAGCGAAUGAAAAAGAAUAAAAUCCCAAUCUUCAAUAGGCAAAUUAAGAUUUUUCAAAGCUGUUAAAUUCUCCGAAAAUAUUGCUAAUAAAUUUCUCAGACCAUCCACUGACUCAUUGGUUAGUUUAGGUGCGUUACAUAUUUCCUUCCAAAAAGAAUUUGCUAAAAGCCUCUUGUUUUGAUAUCUUUCAGUUAACGUUUCGAAAGCUAAUUGAUAAUUUUCUUUUGUUAACUGAUAUCCCUUCAGAAGAUUUCUCGUUUCAGAAGACAACGAACUGAGUAAAUAUUGAAAUUUAUCAAUAUCUGAUAAGGUGGAAUUUGUGUGAAUCAAACUAUUAAAAAUGUCGAAAAAAGUAGGCCAAUUCUUAUAACUUCCAUCAAAUGUCGGUAAAGAAAUUUUUGGAAGCUUGACAUUUGGCGUUGUUGACGUUGUAUCAAUAUUCGAGGAGGUUUCUUCGUUGAAUAAAUUAGUGUAAAUGGUCUUGACAGUAAAGAAAUUAUGCAUAAAGCUAGUUUUUAUCUCCUUUUCAGCGAUCAUAUCUGGAUUUUAGAUUGUUGACAAAAUGGAGAUAAUCGAAUUAUGCAUUGUUUUAAAUUCUUCGAGAAUAUCAUCUAAAUUGGAACACCGCAAAUUAAAUCGAACGUGCAAACUUUGAUCAGUUACAGCAAGUUGGGCGAGCGCUAGUAUUUCCAAGAUUUCAUCUAUUUGAAGUUGGCGCAAGGCUUUUGCUUGUUUCAAUUUAUUGACACUCAUUUUAUCGAAAUGAAUGAAUAAAAUUCGAUAUUCUGCAAAGACGUGAUAAUAAAAAAAGAAAACAAUGAUAUAAUGAGUCUAUCCUCAAUAUAUUUAUUCUUCACCAAAAUAUUUGUAUGCAAAUAAAAUUAAAUUGUCUGAAAAAUGAAAAACAAUUUAUUUUCCGGAUGAAAACAAUCGUAAAAUUCUCGUACUGACGACGAUCAUGAAAAUAUUCAAGAUAACAUGAAACAGAUGUGCAGUUAUGAUAAGAGAAAUAUGGGACAGAGUUCUGAUGCUCUUUCCGCUGCUUAUCAAAUGCAAAACAAAAUUAAAUGAAUAUUUUCAAUUUGAAACGAUGGAAUUUUGAAAUGAGAACGUCUAUUAAAAGAAAAUUCGGCUCUGAUUGGACCAAUGUCGCCGACUGAGGCGUAUUUAUGAAUUUAAUGGACUGUAUAAAAAAUAAUGAAAAUAAAUCGAGUACUGGUCAAAUCGACCUACCUUCACUGAUUGUUUGUAAACCUCAAUUAUCCUGCUAUUUUAAGGCACAAUCCUGAUCAUUAACAAUGUCGAAAUCACUGGUAAUUGUAGAAAUUUUAUAUUUUCUCUCUGCAGCACAUCGAAAACCCAAAACUCAAAACUUCUCUCUUGCUUCUUCCACAUGUGUUCGCUGCAGGUAUGGUAUUAAAUUUGACCAACACAUGCGCGCGAAAAAUUGAAAUAAAACUUGAAUUUCUUCCAACAAAACAUUCUCAUUCCACAAACCAAAAUUAACUAAAAUAAAUUUAAGUCUGAAAUUAAAGAAAGAAAAAUGAAAGUUUUUUAGGUACUUGGAACCUGAACAAUUAUAUUUAGUCUUAAAAUUUAAAUCGACUCUUAUUGACCCAGUAAACUAAUCCUGUCCCUAGAGAAAGAAGGUCAACUAAAAAGACCUGUCCAUUGAAGCGACGGGCCGGACUCACAUAACAUCUUAGUGAAUUUACAUAAUUAUUAAUUCUCCGAGACCUCUGGAAAACCGCUCUUCCAGGGGUUCAAAGAGCAUCUCAACCGGAGAUAAGUGAACGAUUGAUCAACUUUCUCUGACCAACCCGUUCAUGACACAACCAAGAUUAAACGCGCAAACUCCAUAAACAACUGAUAUGCUAACCUCAGUUUUUUAAAAGUCCUUUAUGCAAGCAGUUGUUAUCGUUUCCAACAUUUUAAUUGUUGACAACGGAACCACACAAAGUGAAAAUGAAAAAUGAAGGUAUCAUAACUGAUCCUUGGAGAGAUAAGGAGAAGAAGAUCCAUAAAUUUCAAGAUUUGCAGGAGUUUAGAACUAAGAAGAGGAAGAGCUCAAUCCUGAUAUUUUUCAAUAUCCUGGAUAUUAUAUGAUUGGAUGAGUGAAUAUCCUCCUUAGUGGAGAGUGAGAAAUCCGACUGCGAGCGUGCGAAGAUGUUCUUCCUCUUGCGCUGAUAGGCUAAAGUCGGGCCAUUUCUUUAAAUCAUUUAUUGUAAUAAUGUAUUUUGAAUAGCAAUAAAAACUUAAUGAAUACAA